rnacentral:misc_RNA from 1 species
CACCUCUAGCAUAAAAAGUAUUAGAGGCACUGCCUGCCCGGUGACUCUAGUUAAACGGCCGCGGUAUCCUGACCGUGCAAAGGUAGCAUAAUCACUUGUUCCCUAAAUAGGGACCUGUAUGAAUGGCCUCACGAGGGUUUAACUGUCUCUUACUUUUAAUCAGUGAAAUUGACACUCCCGUGAAGAGGCGGGAAUUAAAAAAUAAGACGAGAAGACCCUAUGGAGCUUUAAUUAACUAAUUUACGAAUUAUAAUAAUAAUCUAUAAGAAAUAAACCAAAAUUAAUUAAAUUAGCAAUUUGGGUUGGGGCGACCUCGAGAUAAAGACUAACUCCCGAGAAAAAUUCACUGAGGCCUACAAGCCAAAGUUAUCCAAUCGCAUAUUGAUCCGCUAUGAGCGAUCAACGAAAUAAGUUACCCUAGGGAUAACAGCGCAAUCCUAUUUAAGAGUCCAUAUCGACAAUUAGGGUUUACGACCUCGAUGUUGGAUCAGGACAUCCCAAUGGUGCAGCCGCUAUUAAUGUGUUCGUUUGUUCAACGAUUAAAGUCCU